GCUAAAUACUCCUGACUGACCGAUAGUGAACCAGUACCGUGAGGGAAAGGCGAAAAGAACCCCGGCGAGGGGAGUGAAAAAGAACCUGAAACCGUGUACGUACAAGCAGUGGGAGCACGCUUAGGCGUGUGACUGCGUACCUUUUGUAUAAUGGGUCAGCGACUUAUAUUCUGUAGCAAGGUUAACCGAAUAGGGGAGCCGAAGGGAAACCGAGUCUUAACUGGGCGUUAAGUUGCAGGGUAUAGACCCGAAACCCGGUGAUCUAGCCAUGGGCAGGUUGAAGGUUGGGUAACACUAACUGGAGGACCGAACCGACUAAUGUUGAAAAAUUAGCGGAUGACUUGUGGCUGGGGGUGAAAGGCCAAUCAAACCGGGAGAUAGCUGGUUCUCCCCGAAAGCUAUUUAGGUAGCGCCUCGUGAAUUCAUCUCCGGGGGUAGAGCACUGUUUCGGCAAGGGGGUCAUCCCGACUUACCAACCCGAUGCAAACUGCGAAUACCGGAGAAUGUUAUCACGGGAGACACACGGCGGGUGCUAACGUCCGUCGUGAAGAGGGAAACAACCCAGACCGCCAGCUAAGGUCCCAAAGUCAUGGUUAAGUGGGAAACGAUGUGGGAAGGCCCAGACAGCCAGGAUGUUGGCUUAGAAGCAGCCAUCAUUUAAAGAAAGCGUAAUAGCUCACUGGUCGAGUCGGCCUGCGCGGAAGAUGUAACGGGGCUAAACCAUGCACCGAAGCUGCGGCAGCGACGCUGAUGCGUUGUUGGGUAGGGGAGCGUUCUGUAAGCCUGCGAAGGUGUGCUGUGAGGCAUGCUGGAGGUAUCAGAAGUGCGAAUGCUGACAUAAGUAACGAUAAAGCGGGUGAAAAGCCCGCUCGCCGGAAGACCAAGGGUUCCUGUCCAACGUUAAUCGGGGCAGGGUGAGUCGACCCCUAAGGCGAGGCCGAAAGGCGUAGUCGAUGGGAAACAGGUUAAUAUUCCUGUACUUGGUGUUACUGCGAAGGGGGGACGGAGAAGGCUAUGUUGGCCGGGCGACGGUUGUCCCGGUUUAAGCGUGUAGGCUGGUUUUCCAGGCAAAUCCGGAAAAUCAAGGCUGAGGCGUGAUGACGAGGCACUGCGGUGCUGAAGCAACAAAUGCCCUGCUUCCAGGAAAAGCCUCUAAGCAUCAGGUAACAUCAAAUCGUACCCCAAACCGACACAGGUGGUCAGGUAGAGAAUACCAAGGCGCUUGAGAGAACUCGGGUGAAGGAACUAGGCAAAAUGGUGCCGUAACUUCGGGAGAAGGCACGCUGAUAUGUAGGUGAAGUCCCUCGCGGAUGGAGCUGAAAUCAGUCGAAGAUACCAGCUGGCUGCAACUGUUUAUUAAAAACACAGCACUGUGCAAACACGAAAGUGGACGUAUACGGUGUGACGCCUGCCCGGUGCCGGAAGGUUAAUUGAUGGGGUUAGCGCAAGCGAAGCUCUUGAUCGAAGCCCCGGUAAACGGCGGCCGUAACUAUAACGGUCCUAAGGUAGCGAAAUUCCUUGUCGGGUAAGUUCCGACCUGCACGAAUGGCGUAAUGAUGGCCAGGCUGUCUCCACCCGAGACUCAGUGAAAUUGAACUCGCUGUGAAGAUGCAGUGUACCCGCGGCAAGACGGAAAGACCCCGUGAACCUUUACUAUAGCUUGACACUGAACAUUGAGCCUUGAUGUGUAGGAUAGGUGGGAGGCUUUGAAGUGUGGACGCCAGUCUGCAUGGAGCCGACCUUGAAAUACCACCCUUUAAUGUUUGAUGUUCUAACGUUGACCCGUAAUCCGGGUUGCGGACAGUGUCUGGUGGGUAGUUUGACUGGGGCGGUCUCCUCCUAAAGAGUAACGGAGGAGCACGAAGGUUGGCUAAUCCUGGUCGGACAUCAGGAGGUUAGUGCAAUGGCAUAAGCCAGCUUGACUGCGAGCGUGACGGCGCGAGCAGGUGCGAAAGCAGGUCAUAGUGAUCCGGUGGUUCUGAAUGGAAGGGCCAUCGCUCAACGGAUAAAAGGUACUCCGGGGAUAACAGGCUGAUACCGCCCAAGAGUUCAUAUCGACGGCGGUGUUUGGCACCUCGAUGUCGGCUCAUCACAUCCUGGGGCUGAAGUAGGUCCCAAGGGUAUGGCUGUUCGCCAUUUAAAGUGGUACGCGAGCUGGGUUUAGAACGUCGUGAGACAGUUCGGUCCCUAUCUGCCGUGGGCGCUGGAGAACUGAGGGGGGCUGCUCCUAGUACGAGAGGACCGGAGUGGACGCAUCACUGGUGUUCGGGUUGUCAUGCCAAUGGC
rnacentral:rRNA from 1 species